rnacentral:rRNA from 1 species
AUACGGAGGGUGCAAGCGUUACUCGGAAUCACUGGGCGUAAAGCGCGCGCAGGCGGCUAUUUAAGUUGGAUGUGAAAGCCUACGGCUCAACCGUAGAACUGCAUCCAAAACUAUUUAGCUAGAGUGUGGGAGAGGAAGAUGGAAUUAGUUGUGUAGGGGUAAAAUCCGUAGAGAUAACUAGGAAUACCAAAAGCGAAGGCAAUCUUCUGGAACACUACUGACGCUGAGGCGCGAAAGCGUGGGGAGCAAACGGGAUUAGAAACCCCAGAGUCC